rnacentral:rRNA from 1 species
UCGGGAGGCAGCAGUGGGGAAUUUUCCGCAAUGGGCGAAAGCCUGACGGAGCAAUACCGCGUGAGGGAAGACGGCCUAUGGGUUGUAAACCUCUUUUUUCGGGGAGGAAUAAAUGACGUGUACCUGAAGAAUAAGCAUCGGCUAACUCCGUGCCAGCAGCCGCGGUAAGACGGAGGAUGCAAGUGUUAUCCGGAAUCACUGGGCGUAAAGCGUCUGUAGGUUGUUAGACAAGUCAACUGUUAAAUCUUGGGGCUUAACUUCAAAAUCGCAGUCGAAACUGUUUGACUAGAGUAUAGUAGGGGUAAAGGGAAUUUCCAGUGGAGCGGUGAAAUGCGUAGAUAUUGGAAAGAACACCAAUGGCGAAGGCACUUUACUGGGCUAUUACUGACACUCAGAGACGAAAGCUAGGGUAGCAAAUGGGAUUAGAUACCCCAGUAGUCUUAGCUGUAAACGAUGGAUACUAAAUGUUGGACAGAUCGACCUGUGCAGUAUUAAAGCU